CCCAGACAGCCAGGAUGUUGGCUUAGAAGCAGCCAUCAUUUAAAGAAAGCGUAAUAGCUCACUGGUCGAGUCGGCCUGCGCGGAAGAUGUAACGGGGCUAAACCAUGCACCGAAGCUGCGGCAGCGACACUCAUGUGUUGUUGGGUAGGGGAGCGUUCUGUAAGCCUGUGAAGGUGGCCUGUGAGGGUUGCUGGAGGUAUCAGAAGUGCGAAUGCUGACAUAAGUAACGAUAAAGCGGGUGAAAAGCCCGCUCGCCGGAAGACCAAGGGUUCCUGUCCAACGUUAAUCGGGGCAACCACUUUGUGAUUCAUGACUGGGGUGAAGUCGUAACAAGGUAACCGUAGGGGAACCUGCGGUUGGAUCACCUCCUUACCUUAAAGAAGCGUACUUUGCAGUGCUCACACAGAUUGUCUGAUGAAAAGUAAAUAGCAAGGCGUCUUGCGAUUGAGACUUCAGUGUCCCCUUCGUCUAGAGGCCCAGGACACCGCCCUUUCACGGCGGUAACAGGGGUUCGAAUCCCCUAGGGGACGCCACUUGCGCGGUAAUGUGUGAAAGGCGUUGCCAUCAGUAUCUCAAAACUGA
rnacentral:rRNA from 1 species